rnacentral:rRNA from 1 species
CUAUGAUCCAGAGAUUUCCGAAUGGGGGAACCCAACAUCUUUAAUAGGAUGUUACGAUUGUGUGAAUACAUAGCACAUUCGAGGUAGACGCAGAGAACUGAAACAUCUAAGUACCUGCAGGAAGAGAAAGAAAAUUCGAUUCCCUGAGUAGCGGCGAGCGAAACGGGAAAAGCCCAAACCAGCAAGCUUGCUUGUUGGGGUUGUAGGACUCCAAUAUGGUAGUUCUUUCAGAUAGUCGAAUGACUUGGAAAAGUCAGUCAAAGAGGGUAAAAACCCCGUAGACGAAAUGUGGAAGACACCUAGGAGGAUCCUGAGUACGGCGGAACACGAGAAAUUCCGUCGGAAUCCGGGAGGACCAUCUCCCAAGGCUAAAUACUCCCUAGUGACCGAUAGUGAACCAGUACCGUGAGGGAAAGGUGAAAAGCACCCCGGAAGGGGAGUGAAAUAGAACCUGAAACCGUGUGCCUACAACAAGUCAAAGCCCGUUAAUGGGUGAUGGCGUGCCUUUUGUAGAAUGAACCGGCGAGUUACGAUUGCAUGCGAGGUUAAGUUGAAGAGACGGAGCCGCAGCGAAAGCGAGUCUGAAUAGGGCGUUUGAGUAUGUAGUCGUAGACCCGAAACCAUGUGAUCUACCCAUGUCCAGGUUGAAGGUGCGGUAAAACGCACUGGAGGACCGAACCCACGUACGUUGAAAAGUGCGGGGAUGAGGUGUGGGUAGCGGAGAAAUUCCAAACGAACUUGGAGAUAGCUGGUUCUCUCCGAAAUAGCUUUAGGGCUAGCCUCGGAAUUGAGAAUGAUGGAGGUAGAGCACUGUUUGGACUAGGGGCCCAUCUCGGGUUACCGAAUUCAGAUAAACUCCGAAUGCCAUUCAUUCAUAUCCGGGAGUCAGACUGUGAGUGAUAAGAUCCAUAGUCGAAAGGGAAACAGCCCAGACCACCAGCUAAGGUCCCAAAAUAUAUGUUAAGUGGAAAAGGAUGUGGGGUUGCACAGACAACUAGG